GCCCGUAAUCCGGGUUGCGGACAGUGUCUGGUGGGUAGUUUGACUGGGGCGGUCUCCUCCUAAAGAGUAACGGAGGAGCACGAAGGUUGGCUAAUCCUGGUCGGACAUCAGGAGGUUAGUGCAAUGGCAUAAGCCAGCUUGACUGCGAGCGUGACGGCGCGAGCAGGUGCGAAAGCAGGUCAUAGUGAUCCGGUGGUUCUGAAUGGAAGGGCCAUCGCUCAACGGAUAAAAGGUACUCCGGGGAUAACAGGCUGAUACCGCCCAAGAGUUCAUAUCGACGGCGGUGUUUGGCACCUCGAUGUCGGCUCAUCACAUCCUGGGGCUGAAGUAGGUCCCAAGGGUAUGGCUGUUCGCCAUUUAAAGUGGUACGCGAGCUGGGUUUAGAACGUCGUGAGACAGUUCGGUCCCUAUCUGCCGUGGGCGCUGGAGAACUGAGGGGGGCUGCUCCUAGUACGAGAGGACCGGAGUGGACGCAUCACUGGUGUUCGGGUUGUCAUGCCAAUGGCACUGCCCGGUAGCUAAAUGCGGAAGAGAUAAGUGCUGAAAGCAUCUAAGCACGAAACUUGCCCCGAGAUGAGUUCUCCCUGACUCCUUGAGAGUCCUGAAGGAACGUUGAAGACGACGACGUUGAUAGGCCGGGUGUGUAAGCGCAGCGAUGCGUUGAGCUAACCGGUACUAAUGAACCGUGAGGCUUAACCUU
rnacentral:rRNA from 1 species